AACGCAUCUUGCGCUCCUUGGUAUUCCGAGGAGCAUGCCUGUUUGAGUGUCACGGUAUUCUCAAUUCUCUCAGUUUUUGCUGGGAUGAUAUUGGACUUGGAGGUUAUUGCCGGCAUCCUUGUGAAACCGGCUCCUCUUAAAUGUAUCAGUGUGAAUAUUCACUUCAUACUCAGUGUGAUAAUUAUCUACGCUGUGCAUGAGUGAUGCAACUUCAUGCUUCGAACUGUCGCGAGACCACUUUGACUUCUGACCUCAAAUCAGGUAGGAUUACCCGCUGAACUUAA
rnacentral:misc_RNA from 1 species